UCCCUCUUAGCUCAGUUGGUAAAUCAUCUGCCUGCAAUGCAGGAGACCCAGGUUUGAUUCCUGGGUAGGGAA
rnacentral:tRNA from 1 species